rnacentral:rRNA from 1 species
UGCGUAGGUGGUAUGGCAAGUCAGAAGUGAAAACCCAGGGCUUAACUCUGGGACUGCUUUUGAAACUGUCAGACUGGAGUGCAGGAGAGGUAAGCGGAAUUCCUAGUGUAGCGGUGAAAUGCGUAGAUAUUAGGAGGAACAUCAGUGGCGAAGGCGGCUUACUGGACUGAAACUGACGUUGAGGCUCGAAAGUGUGGGUAGCAAACA